rnacentral:rRNA from 1 species
GAUGAACGCUGGCGGCGUGCCUAAUACAUGCAAGUCGAGCGAACAGACGAGGUGCUUGCUCCUUCGACGUUAGCGGCGGACGGGUGAUUAACACGUAGGUAACCUACCUAUAAGACUGGGAUAACUUCGGGAAACCGGAUCUAAUACCGGAUAAUAUUUCGAACCGCAUGGUUCUAUAGUGAAAGAUGUCUUUGCUAUCCCUUAUAGAUGUCCCUGCGCCGUAUUAGCUAGUUGGUAAGGUAACGGCUUACCAAGGCAACGAUACGUAGCCGACCUGAGAGGGUGAUCGGCCACACUGGAACUGAGACACGGUCCAGACUCCUACGGGAGGCAGCAGUAGGGAAUCUUCCGCAAUGGGCGAAAGCCUGACGGAGCAACGCCGCGUGAGUGAUGAAGGUCUUCGGAUCGUAAAACACUGUUAUUAGGGAAGAACAAACGUGUAAGUAACUGUGCACGUCUUGACGGUACCUAAUCAGAAAGCCACGGCUAACUACGUG